GCCUGGGUAGCUCAGUCAGUUAAGCAUCUGACUUUGGCUCAGGUCAUGAUCUUGUGGUUCGUGAGUUUGAGUCCCACAUCAGGCU
rnacentral:tRNA from 1 species